rnacentral:rRNA from 1 species
UACGAAGGGGGCUAGCGUUGCUCGGAAUUACUGGGCGUAAAGCGCACGUAGGCGGCUCUUUAAGUCGGAGGUGAAAUCCUGGAGCUCAACUCCAGAACUGCCUUCGAUACUGAAGAGCUCGAGUCCGGGGAGAGGUGAGUGGAACUGCGAGUGUAGAGGUGAAAUUCGUAGAUAUUCGCAAGAACACCAGUGGCGAAGGGCGGCUCACUGGCCCGGUACUGACGCUGAGGUGCGAAAGCGUGGGGAGCAAACAGGGAUUAAGAA